rnacentral:misc_RNA from 1 species
GAUGAAGAACGUAGCGAAAUGCGAUAAGUAAUGUGAAUUGCAGAAUUCAGUGAAUCAUCGAAUCUUUGAACGCACAUUGCGCCCGGCAGUACUCUGCCGGGCAUGCCUGUUCGAGCGUCAUUUCAACCCUCAAGCCCUGCUUGGUGUUGGGCCGCGCCGGCAACGGCGGGCCUCGAAAAUAGUGGCGACGCCAUCGUGCUCUCAGCGUAGUAAUUCUUCUCGCUGUUGGGUCCCGGUGGUCGUCCGCCAGCAACCCCCAACUUUCUUAAGUUUGACCUGGGAUGAGGUAGGGAUACCCGCUGAACUUAAGCAUAUCAAUAAGCGGAGGA